GGGGGCCUGGGCGUGAAAAUGAGCCUCCGUGGCAGAAAGAGGAGGCGGUGGCGGUGUAAGACGUCUGCUCCCUGUGAACCAGGGGACUCCACGGGGCCUCCGUCCACCUACAAAUGGGGAAAGGAGUCUAUGUGGACGUCGUCAAGCUUCCCAUUUGGUUCCCCUCAGUAAGGAGGAGGAGCCCAACUGGGGAGCUGGGUUGGGACUGCGAUCCUUAGUUCUCUCAGCCCUGUGAGGCUGACCCCCUGCCCUGCACAUCUCCUGUAAACAUCCUGGUGGGAGCUGAGUGGCCCUGGGCUGCCUCCGUCAGAGAUGACACAGAGGCCAGACAGGACCCCCCAGGGACAGACAGACGGACACACACAGCCUCGGACCUGCUGACCUCACACCAGCCGGCCCCACCUCGCCCAGGGGGUCGGCACACGCAAGGACCCCCGGCUCCCCGCUAGUAUCCCAGUGGUACCUUCCCCCAAGAUUGUGACCCCCCCACCAGAGCCUCACACACUGGGUCUCCCCUGAUCUCUGAGUUUGUUUCUUCCUGUGUCCCUAGAUCCCAUUGUUUUACAUCAUUGUUUGUCACUCUG